GCUUUGAUGGAUGGCGACCGGCGCACGGGUGAGUAACACGUAUCCAACCUGCCGACAACACUGGGAUAGCCUUUCGAAAGAAAGAUUAAUACCGGAUGGCAUAGUCUUCCCGCAUGGGAUGACUAUUAAAGAAUUUCGGUUGUCGAUGGGGAUGCGUUCCAUUAGGCAGUUGGCGGGGUAACGGCCCACCAAACCAACGAUGGAUAGGGGUUCUGAGAGGAAGGUCCCCCACAUUGGAACUGAGACACGGUCCAAACUCCUACGGGAGGCAGCAGUGAGGAAUAUUGGUCAAUGGACGAGAGUCUGAACCAGCCAAGUAGCGUGAAGGAUGACUGCCCUAUGGGUUGUAAACUUCUUUUAUACGGGAAUAAAGUGAGCCACGUGUGGCUUUUUGUAUGUACCGUAUGAAUAAGGAUCGGCUAACUCCGUGCCAGCAGCCGCGGUAAUACGGAGGAUCCGAGCGUUAUCCGGAUUUAUUGGGUUUAAAGGGAGCGUAGGCGGGUUGUUAAGUCAGUUGUGAAAGUUUGCGGCUCAACCGUAAAAUUGCAGUUGAUACUGGCGACCUUGAGUGCAACAGAGGUAGGCGGAAUUCGUGGUGUAGCGGUGAAAUGCUUAGAUAUCACGAAGAACUCCGAUUGCGAAGGCGCUUACUGGAUUGU
rnacentral:rRNA from 1 species